CAACAUUCCUUAAUCACCAUUACUCUGGACUCAGGCAUUUAAUUGCUCAUCUCUUUCUCCAUUCUUUCAUGAAUAGAGAAUUUCACUCUUUCAGGGAAGAGCCGCCUUUGGCCAAACUGUGCUAAAGGUGAGUCCUCCCCUCCCCCCAGUAACUGGCCUCUCCGUUCACUCACUCACUCAGGUGAGCCCUGCCGGCUACUUGGGUGAGGGGCCCCCAGGGGCAGAGGAAGAAGCAGCCACCUGUGGUGGGGGCCAGAGAGGGGGGCACAGCGGCUAGGGGAGCCCCAGAUGUCACGUCACCCCACAGGGCUGAGAAGAACAUUGCCUGCAAUUGGCCGAGUCUGGAAGGCCAGUAGAGGUCAUCUACAUUUAGGGCUGUCUGGACAGAGAUGAAUGAGAGGACAUUGUGAGCUUUGGGGGACCUGGACACAACCAAGGGAGGGUGCACGGGGUCUGGGGGUUAGGGGGGACCAGGUAGCAAAAGGGCCAGCAGGGAGAUGAGGGUGGCCAAAAGGACAAACUCACGGAAGGUCUUCAGAGCUGGAUGAAGGAACUCGAUUCAUUCAACAAAUCAUUGCUGAGCGGAACUUUUGUCCUGGUGACUGUUCUAGACUUGGAGACCUUACUAUGAAGAAGGAAGACAAAGCCCCCGCCCGCGGUGGAGUCUGCACUCGGACAGGGGAGCUGGGGCUGGGCCGCACCUGCUCACAAGAACAGGCUGCUGGAGUUUCUGGAAUUUGGAGAGCCGACUGACACUACGCUGGCAGCUUGAAAUCGGCCAUGCCGGACACGUUUCCACCGCAGAAAUUGGAGACACUGUAGAGCAGCCUCUCACCCACCCACGACCAUCCUGCACCCCGAAGCUGUUAAACACUUAGUAACAAGCAGGCAGGGAAGUCAGCACCCCCACAUACGAAGGACGAAACCAGCAGGGCGUUAUGUUCGAGCAGGACCGAUGGGGAGGGAACGAGGGAAGUCUUCUGGGAAGUGAAGUCCCCUGAGCUGAUAUCUAACCCGGGCUUUUGAAGAUUUGGUGAUAGCCCCUCACCCAAGUACCUGGCACGCGGCAGGCCUCACCUGAGUGGAGUCAAUGUCUCCCUGUGUGACCCAGUCUGGACUCAAACUCCGGGGCUCCAGCGAUCCUCCUGCCUCAGCCUCCUACAUAGCUGGGCCUACAGGUGCAUGCCACCACAGCUGGCUAAGCAGAAGCCACACGUGGACAUGAGAUCUCUUCAGCCUUCGAGAAUACAUCUCCUAACACGUGCAGCCUUUGGCAGGAAUGUCCUGGAUCAUCACCGGCUGAUGUAGCUGUCCCAGACGUAGCACUGAAUUUAAAAAUUAGGUUGCAGAAGAGCAUAAUCCAUUUUGUGCAUGAAAAGUGAGUAGAUGAUAGAUAGAUGGAGGAGAGAAGGACGGGAGGAAGGGGGGAAGGGAGGAAGGAAGGAGGGGAACCCAGUUGGAACUGGCUCCUUCAGCUGCUGUCCUCGUGAGCUGAGGUCAAUUUCAGCACAGCCUAUCUCCCCAAACCGCAAAUCCAAUCCUAAAGAUUGCCAAACGUGUGGAAUUUUACAUUUUUCUUUAUUAUGAAAUGUACAUGUGGAGACUAUACGCGAUCUGGUCUGCCGUAUUGCCAGAAACGAAGUCUCAGUCACGGAGAUUUUACUGCCAGUUUCCUACGGAGAUGCAGGAGGGCGUCACAUUGCCCAGGGCUCACCCAGGCCUGUGAAAACUCCACUCAGUCGCCCCUGCUCUUUUCCCAAAGUUCCUCUCCCCACGGCUCCCUGGCCCCUGCCCUCGGCUCUGUCAGAUUCGCCAGAGCUCCGUCUUCCUGCUUGUCCUGGCAGUCCCCUCUUGAGGAGACCAAAGCUAAGGGACUGAGCAUUUGGCUAAACAAACGGUGAGCUGCGGUCAAGUUGGGAUACUGCUGUGCCCUGGGGGCUUGCCCACACUCCCAAGGGUCCCUUUAAGGGGUUACUUGUAAAACAGGAAAAAGAGCAGGAGUGACUCCAUGACAGGCUGGACCUCCUGGAAUAGGCCUAAGUUCUGUUUCCUCGAGGCGGGUCCUCCCCUUCCCCAAAUGAUGCUGAUAACAACUAAAAGGUCCCGGGACUUAGAACCAACCAAUCAGAAGCCAAUACAACCUUGGACCCAACCAAUCAGGAGCCAACACGAUCAGCCACUCUUGAAGGAGCAAAUGAACUAAGGGAGGGAGGGGGAUGGUGUGCCCAGCGUUUGUAACCUACUGAAAGGUAGAAAAGCUUAAUUUUUACCCCAGGGCGGGCUCCUUGUUCGUGGAGAGGCCACUGCGUUGGUGCUCUGGGACUUGGA